CUGGGAGUAGCUCAAUCUGGCAGAGUACCUGCCUUGGACGCAGGGGGUUGCAGGUUCAAGUCCUGCCUUCCAGACCA
rnacentral:tRNA from 2 species